rnacentral:lncRNA from 1 species
GGACUUUGUGUUAUCAGUUUUAAAUUUUAACCAUGACAAAAAUGAUCAGGAUGUACAGAGAACGUCAUGAUAGGAAACCCUAAACCACAAAGCUGUGCAGCUCGCAGAGAGACAGAGAGACUGAAGCGACAGCAGCAUCAGAACACAGAGGACCAACAUUUACUUAUGAUUUACUGCAGAAUCAGAAUCAGCUUCACAUAGAAAAGCUGCAGUUAACAGAGAAACACAGCGACUGAGUGACAGCUCUGCUGUACAGGAAACUGAUACUGCUGAAAACUGAGCAUCUGAAAAUGUCUUCCAUCAUUGAUGAGGAUCCAGAGCUGAGCAUGAAUGUGAAAUACAGCAAAGGAGAGGACAGAGGAGAGAGACUGGAGGAACGGGUCCUCCUCCAUGAGAAUGUGGACUCCUGCACAGACCAUCAGGUCCAUGUUUCAACACAGGACGGAGAAACAAAAACCCAGCAGAAGCUUCCAGCUGUGAAAAGAAGCCGUUUCAGAGCUGUUGAAGUGAACCUGGUGGUUCUGUUUCUGCUGAUUCUGGCUGGAAUCACAACACGCUAUAUUUUGGUGAGUUUGGAAAAAGAGCAGCUGAAGGUUUGA